CGGCGUGGAUUAGGCAUGCAAGUCGGGGGAAUCCCCGCAAGGGGGAACCGGCGUAAAGGGGCAGUAAGGCAUGGGUACCUACCCGGGGGUUCGGGAUAGCCAUCAGAGAUGGUGGGUAAUACCGGAUGACCUCGUGAGAGCAAAGAUUCAUCGCCCCCGGAGGGGCCCAUGUGAUAUUAGCUAGUUGGUGGGGUAACGGCCCACCAAGGCGAAGAUGUCUAGCGGGUGUGAGAGCACGACCCGCGCCACUCGCACUGAGACACUGGCGAGACACCUACGGGUGGCUGCAGUCGAGGAUCUUCGGCAAUGGGGGCAACCCUGACCGAGCGACGCCGCGUGAGCGAUGAAGGCCUUCGGGUUGUAAAGCUCUUUAGUGGGGGAGAAAAGCCGAGAGGUGUGAUCGAUCCCAAAAAUAAGCACGGGCUAAGUUCGUGCCAGCAGCCGCGGUAAGACGAACCGUGCGAACGUUGUUCGGAAUCACUGGGCUUAAAGGGCGCGUAGGCGGGCUAUCAAGUCUGGGGUGAAAGCCCACGGCUCAACCGUGGAACGGCCUCAGAUACUGACGGCCUCGAGGGAGGUAGGGGCAUGCGGAACUGUAGGUGGAGCGGUGAAAUGCGUUGAUAUCUACAGGAACUCCGGUGGCGAAAGCGGCGUGCUGGACCUCUUCUGACGCUGAGGCGCGAAAGCUAGGGGAGCAAACGGGAUUAGAUACCCCGGUAGUCCUAGCCCUAAACGAUGGGUACUAGAUAGUAGGCCAGAUAUGGGCUUACUGUCGAAGUUAAAAUGCUAAGUACCCCGCCUGGGGAGUAUGGUCGCAAGGCUGAAACUCAAAGGAAUUGACGG
rnacentral:rRNA from 1 species